rnacentral:rRNA from 1 species
GACGAACGCUGGCGGCGUGCUUAACACAUGCAAGUCGAACGGAAAGGCCCUGCUUUUGUGGGGUGCUCGAGUGGCGAACGGGUGAGUAACACGUGAGUAACCUGCCCUUGACUUUGGGAUAACUUCAGGAAACUGGGGCUAAUACCGGAUAGGAGCUCCUGCUGCAUGGUGGGGGUUGGAAAGUUUCGGCGGUGUGGGAUGGACUCGCGGCUUAUCAGCUUGUUGGUGGGGUAGGGGCUUACAAAGCCUUUGACGGGUAGCCGGCCUGAGAGGGUGAACGGCCUCAAUGGGACUGCGAUACGGCCCAGACUCCUACGGGAGGCAGCAGUGGGAAAUAUUACACAGUGGGCGGAAGCCAGAUGCAGCGACGCCGCGUGCGGGAUGACGGCCUUCGGGUUGUAAACCGCUUUCGCCUGUGACGAAGCGUGAGUGACGGUAAUGGGUAAAGAAGCACCGGCUAACUACGUG